rnacentral:rRNA from 1 species
UACGAAAGGUGCAAGCGUUACUCGGAAUCACUGGGCGUAAAGCGCACGUAGGCGGACUCGUAGGUCAAUUGUGAAAUACCUGGCUCAACCCGGGAACUGCAGUGAAACCGCUUGUCUUGAAUACCUGAGAGGGUGGGGGAAUACCUGGUGGAGAAGUGAAAUCGUAGAGAUCAGGUGGAACACCGGAGGCGAAGGCGCCUGCCUGGCAGUGUAUGACGCUGAGGUGCGAAAGUGCGGGGAGCAAACAGG